CAAAAAGGGCCAGAAGGAACUACAGGCCUGUCAGUCUGACUUCAGUGCCGAGGAAGGUUAUGGAGCAAAUCACUUUGAGUGACAUCACGUGGCACACACGGGACAACCAGAAUGACUAUGAAGCUGUUCUGCCUAUAGAACCAUACUGAAGCAAUGAAUGAAUGAACGGAUGAAUGAAUGAACAGACGAGAUGGGAAUUUCUGCAGUUUGGUUAUGUGGCAGACCCAUUGUGAAAUGACUGAUGGAACCUGUAAUCCAGGAGAGUGCGGCUCAAAUCCUGAUGAAAAGCUGGGCAAUGCUGUUUUAUACAUCAGAAAAUCACCAUGUUCUUUGUCAAGGCUGUCCACAAAUGUAGUCUACGCCCUGGCUGACCAUAAUUAGAGAAUCAAUUAGAAAACCUUGAAACAUGUUGGGAUGAUCCAAGUGCAUUCAACAGAUUUUCAAAGCUGCCAGAACCCAAAUGAACCAAUGGAAAUAUGUAGUUUGAGGUUGUUCAGUAAACAUGGGUACUUGAA